rnacentral:hammerhead_ribozyme from 1 species
AUUCAGCUGACGAGUACUAAAUAGGACGAAACGCGUGUAUUAGAU